ensembl:lncRNA
AAUGUUGUACAUCUGGAGCAGCCAAACGGCAGAGUCAGUGGAUGUAGGAAAUGGGAUCCACAUGUGUGAGAGAUGACACAGCAAGCCCCAGGUCAGAUGUAUGCCCAGUUCACAUCGGUCAGGAGAAGAGUGGGAGAGGAAAUUGUUAUCACAAUUGCAAAAGCCUGGCAGAAAAAUUAUUACAGCGCAGCUGUUUUUAAGAAUGGGUUUCCCACAUCACCCAAUCUCAAGAGACCACCUUGAACACUGCUUGGAAGGAAAGCAGCACUGAAGACAGCCAACUGCAAAAUAACCUGAGUGGCUUCCUCAUCCCACUUUGUCAAGAGUUCUCUGAAAAAGGAAAUGAAGACUUACAGGUUCCUAACUUCACAAGUCCUUUAGAAACAGAAAUGGCUCACAAAGGGAAGCAGAUACCCAUGCAUUUUGGAGGUCAGCCUCCUUUACCAAGGCACAGAGAAGGGAGCUAACUGGCUUGGUGUGCUGUCACCAGGGGCAGAAGGCGAUGCUGGCAGAAGCACUGGCUGUGUGUGGCUGUCCACCUUCCUUACCCUGGGAGCAGAUCCAAAGAUCAUACACUGGGAAAAGCUUAAUGCGUUUUCAUGUGAAAAAUAACCACCUUAGGAAGUGGGCCACAGUCCCACAGGAUAUCCCAGCAUCUCAGCGCCAGGCAUUUCAGCUUGCUGUUGCUGUAGGGCAACCCUGCAAGGAUGGAAAAAUGGGUAGGUUUUGGGCAGACAGGCAGUGUGGGAUGUUUUGCUACAGGUCGGGAAACUUCCUGAGGCUGUUAGACAGGAGGUGCAGGUCAAGUGUGUUUGGAGGUGAGUGGGUGGUGUGAAUCCCCCUCUCCUGAAGAGUUUUCCUCAGACCAAGCUUGGCACAGCCCAGGGUAAGUAGGCCUCAUGCAGCUGAAGAGAGGUUUUGUUUGCUUUCUUGUUUGCUGGUGCAAGGCUUCUCAGAGAGGCUGCUACGAGAAGUCAGGCUGGUAUUUUAACUCGAGUCCAGAAGCAUCAGCCCUGACGCAGAUUGGAGUGGAAAGUUCUCCUCUUAGAAAAACUGAAAUAAGAGGGUGGUUUCGCUCUGUGUACUGCUUGGGCCAGGCAGCUAUCAUUACUGACUUUCAGUCCUCAGUUCAACACGCGCUUAGAGCUCUAGCUCAGAAAUUGCGUGUCCUCUUCCCAUGCAGAGAGGAAAAAGGCAGCUCAGGUCCUCCUGCAUUGCAUGCAUGGUGAGCAGCACAACAUCUUGCUGGCAGCUGCUAAGUGCUGCUCAGCGUGGGCUGCCUCUUAUGCAACACCUGGGCAGUCCCAGGUGCAGACAAACAGGGUUGUGAAGCACAGUGCUUGCAGAACUCUUCCCUCCUUCCUUGUGAAACUCCCUCCUCCAAGCUACUGAAAUCCUGGGAUAAUAAUUAACUAAGUUAAAACUUGCUCCGUAAUCGCAGCCAUGUGCACUUUGCUGGGUGCGUUCAAGUUAGAAAUGUUUGCAUUUUAAGGCUCUUUCUGCGUGAUGGUCUUGCAGCACUAUGCAUACAUUCACUCAUUUGUUUUCACGUUAUGCUUUGUGUUUUAUUUUCAGUUGGAGGGAUGACAAGCUUCUUUUCAGGGUGUCCCUUGAAAGACACACAGGAAAAUUAAUCGCGUUACCUUAAACUGGGAAUAUAAAAAGGAUUUAAAUUGAAGGUGUGGGGGCCUAUUCCUUCCAAGCAAGAGCACUAACCCCCAGGUUAAGCUCAAU